AUUCAAAUAGUUUAAGAAAAGUAAAAUGUAAGCUUGUGGCGCUUACGAUGUGUUAGCACUUUGAAUA
rnacentral:tRNA from 1 species